rnacentral:lncRNA from 1 species
UGGGGUCACGAUCCUAGUUUGGGUUUCAUCAGGAGUUUAAUUGUUCACAUGACUAUGGCUGCCAUUUUAUUGCAAUAGUGUCCCACUACGUUUACCCCGUUAAUUCCAUAUGUAAUUCCGUUUUUUCAAUAGAGUUUUAAUAUACGAUGGUGGUCAUAUAAUUACAUGACAGUUUAAGUUACGAUAGUCUUUUUAUUCACAAUUAGUUUUAUUAUUUAAUGUGAUCAUUGUUGAAUCUGCAUUAUGUUCUUUGGUGUGUUUGUGUAGAUGCUUCUUUGGUUUCCGUCUCAACUUAUAUGUUUUUUUUUUGUUGGUAUCGCAUGAAUUGUUGACCCCCUUCAAUUGGUGAUUGUCGUCUUUUACCCCUAUCUCAUUGUGGGGACUACUUUUCAUUCGAAGUUUUUCAUGGUCUGGGUAUAAAUAAUUUAUGUUUAGUUAAUAUUGUGUAUGUUAUAUUGUUCAAAAAAAAUACGUGUAUCACGUCUGUAGUUGUACGU